UCUUCCCACGCUCCGCGCCCGCGCCGCGCCGCGCCACCAUGCGGCCAAGUCCGGCGCUGCGCCUGCUGGGAACGCGAUCGCCCCCGCCCAACCGUGAGAAAUGCGGCAGAGGAUCUGACCAGCCAGCCAACCAACCACAUUCUCGCCGGCAAGGGGCCCGCCCUAACCUGAGGGCGGCUGCAGAGUUGUCCUUUUCUUCACAGGUUCUGGUUUCUCUGACCUUUUCUUCCAAAGUUUCUCUCUCAUGACAGCUCUUAUAAGUUUUCUGACUGCAACCUGUGGAGAACUGGAGAAGAACUGUGGAUCCUCUCUACAGAAAAAUGCGCACUCUCACAGAAGCAGUUUUGCAUGGUAUUUCAGGGUGUUUUGAAACUUCUCCAUGUCAUGACCGCCAACUUCAGACCUCUAUAUGUGCCUGUGAGGGCAGAACUGACCAGCCUUUCUCCUGUGGGGCUCCAACUGCGGCGAUUCAUCAGAAAAUAGCCAGUGGUGCCCAAGAUGGCCAGCAGGACUCCCGAGGUGACCAGUGCAAUCAGAGUCUUUCGGGAAUAGCUCUGGUGACUCCCAAUAUCUUGUUUAUUGAAGCCUUGGAUCCCCAGCUUAAGGAAAAGAUAAACAAAUGGCAGCAUGUCACUUGUGAACAAAAGAGUUCUAGCGAGAAGCCCAGACCACUCCAUAUCCCUGGGUGCAACUCCCUGAUGUGGACUGUAGAGGAUGGAAAGAAGUGGAUGCCUGGAGAGGUCACCAUCUCCUCUCCUGACCCAGUGCUCCCCCUGAGAUGCAUCAUCUUGUGAACAUACCUUUUUCAAGUCAGACUGGUGCUUUUCCAUAAGCUGGAGUUUGCUGGAAAGUUCUAGAAUUAGAAACAGGGGUUGCUAAAUCUAGAAGCUAGUCCAGCUCAUCUUGAUCUGUCCUCCCAUCUUGUCCUAGAAGCUUUUAUCCGGUGAUCCUUUUCAACCAGACCUUUCUUCCCAGCACCUGUAGUUUCUGAAGCUGAGUUCCAACCAGGAUCUUCUAUCAUGAACCCCAUUUAAGUUCAGCCCUAGUCAAUUCCAAGUCCCCAAAGUGGCCCUUACCUGUGCUAUUGGCCAAGACCAUCAGCAAACACUCGGGCCUAACCUCAGAUUGGGCUAGAAGCAAGGAGCAGACACUAGCACCAGCAUCAGCCUCAGCCUCAUCCUUCUCACACAGUAUUUGGGUUAGGCCCUCUCCUUUUUCCUUCUUAAAUUCAUCCUGGAAAGACAAAAAGAAAAAAAGAAAAGAAAAGGCAAGAGAUGAAAUUACUUGUAGCCUUGAACUUCAUCCAGAGUCUCAGUGGCCUCCCAACCAAGAAAACCAAGACUUUCUCCAGUUUUGAUGACAGAUGUCAGAGAAGGAAAUGCCUCAUGGACAUGACAACAUUCCUGUUAGGGGAAAACUCUGGAACUUGUAACUAUCAUCACACCUGAGCCUUGUAGAGAAGGCUUCCUAUCUGCCCAUGGUUUAGUCCAGAGGUCUUCACAGUUGGAAGGGAGCCUGGGUAUUUUCCUUCUAUUGUGAUCUUAGGCAGGAAAACCUCCUUUGUGCCUCCGCCAGACAAAGUCAAGACUGGCCUUAGGCCCUGGGGGAUUUCAAAGAGCAGUAGGAAAAUAACUGGACCUGAGUGAGGCCAGCAGGGAUUGGCUGGCCUUAUAAGCUCUCCACUUGAGCAAAGCACCUUCCCUGGUAUCAUGCUUUUCAGGUUAUAGAAGAGACCACACAUGAUGAGUCUGGACUCUUUGUGAGUCUCUAGCUAAAAUGUUUGUUUCCUGAAAGAAGAGGAGAAACAGGUCUCCCACAGAAUCUAAAGUAGCCACACAAAAUGGGACCUUCCCACAUUCUCUAGUGCUAAGACACUGCACUUUGACAGUAUUCUGUCAUUCUAACAUUUAACAAGCCCUGAUAGUAAAGCACUGUCAGAAAAUGUGUGUGGGAACUGGAGAGAUGGCUCAGAGGUUAAAAGCACUGAAUGCUCUUCCAGAGAUCCUGAGUUCAAUUCCCAGUAACCACAUGGUGGCUCACAACCACCUAUAAUGAGAUCUGAUAACCUCUUCUGGUAUGCAGGUGUAUAUGCAGACAGAGUACUGUAUACCUAAUAAAU